CCUACGGGAGGCAGCAGUGGGGCAUAUUGCACAAUGGGGGAAACCCUGAUGCAGCGACGCCGCGUGAGUGAAGAAGUAUUUCGGUACGUAAAGCUCUAUCAGCAGGGAAGAAAAUGACGGUACCUGACUAAGAAGCCCCGGCUAACUACGUGACAGCAGCCGCGGUAAUACGUAGGGGGCAAGCGUUAUCCGGAUUUACUGGGUGUAAAGGGAGCGUAGACGGCAGCGCAAGUCUGGAGUGAAAUCCCAUGGCUUAACCAUGGAACUGCCUUGGAAACUGUGCAGCUAGAGUGCAGGAGAGGUAAGCGGAAUUCCUAGUGUAGCGGUGAAAUGCGUAGAUAUUAGGAGGAACACCAGUGGCGAAGGCGGCUUACUGGACUGUAACUGACGUUGAGGCUCGAAAGCGUGGGGAGCAAACAGGAUUAGAUACCCGAGUAGUC
rnacentral:rRNA from 1 species